GGAUGUGAGGGCGAUCUGGCUGUGACAUCUGUCACCCCACUGAUCACCAGGGUUGAUUCAGCUGAUCUGGCUGGCUGGGCAGGUGUCCCUUCCUCCCUCUGAUCCAUGUGCAUCCCUCCCAAAGCUGCCGCCAGCACUCAGUUGAAGAGGAUGACCUUCCCCCAGAGGAGAAGACUGGUUUUCAGUCCAGGGUAUAAAGUAGCUGCACUCCCUGCCCCUGCUAGAACCUGCAAACAAACUCUCCAAGUGGCUGCGCCAUUUUACAUUCCCUAGCAGGCAUGAAAGUUUUGAAUUCUCCACAUUCUCACCAAUACUUGUUAUUAUCUGA
rnacentral:snRNA from 1 species